rnacentral:tRNA from 1 species
GCGGGCGUGGCGGAACUGGUAGACGCGCUGGAUUUAGGUUCCAGUGGCUUAGGCCGUGGGGGUUCAAGUCCCUUCGCCCGCACCA